rnacentral:lncRNA from 1 species
UUCCUGUUUUAACAUUGUUCAUUUUAUGAAUCAUUUGAGGGGGAAUAGGAAGGAAGGAAGGAAGGAAGGAAGGAAGGAAGGAAGGAAGGAAGGAAGGAAGGAAGGAAGGAAGGAAGAAAAGAAAGAAAGAAAGAAAGAAAGAAAGAAAGAAAGAAAGAAAGAAAGAAAGAAAGAAAGAAAGAAAGAAAGAAAGAAAGAAAGAAAGAAAGAAAGAAAGAAAGAAAGAAAGAAAGAAAGAAAGAAAGAAAGAAAGAAAGAAAGAAAGAAAGAAAGAAAGAAAGAAAGAAAGAAAGAAAGAAAGAAAGGAAGGAAGGAAGGAAGGAAGGAAGGAAGGAAGGAAGGAAGAAAGAAAGAAAGAAAGAAAGAAAGAAAGAAAGAAAGAAAGAAAGAAAGAAAGAAAGAAAGAAAGAAAGAAGAAAAGGAAGGAAGGAAAGAGAGAGGGGGGCAGGGAGAAAGAAAGGAAGGAAGAUGGACAGAUGAACAAAAAACUGGACACACCCUAAAAGACAUAGCUCGUUUUAUUUAUAUAAACAAGCAGACAGGAAGACAGACA